rnacentral:rRNA from 1 species
GUCUAUACCCACUCCACCUCUGAACGCGCCUGAUCUCAUCUGACCUCUGAAGCUAAGCAGGGUUGGGCCUGGUUAGUACUUGGAUGGGAGAAAACAGGAAGUACUGUCU